CACGUAGGCGGACUCUUAAGUCGGAGGUGAAAUCCUGGAGCUCAACUCCAGAACUGCCUUCGAUACUGGGAGCCUUCGAGUUCGGGAGAGGUGAGUGGAACUGCGAGUGUAGAGGUGAAAUUCGUAGAUAUUCGCAAGAACACCAGUGGCGAAGGCGGCUCACUGGCCCGAUACUGACGCUGAGGUGCGAAAGCGUGGGGAGCAACA
rnacentral:rRNA from 1 species